rnacentral:rRNA from 1 species
GCGAUACAGGGUGACAGCCCCGUACACAAAAAUGCACAUACUGUGAGCUCGAUGAGUAGGGCGGGACACGUGGUAUCCUGUCUGAAUAUGGGGGGACCAUCCUCCAAGGCUAAAUACUCCUGACUGACCGAUAGUGAACCAGUACCGUGAGGGAAAGGCGAAAAGAACCCCGGCGAGGGGAGUGAAAAAGAACCUGAAACCGUGUACGUACAAGCAGUGGGAGCCUCUUAAUGGGGUGACUGCGUACCUUUUGUAUAAUGGGUCAGCGACUUAUAUUCUGUAGCAAGGUUAACCGAAUAGGGGAGCCGAAGGGAAACCGAGUCUUAACUGGGCGUUAAGUUGCAGGGUAUAGACCCGAAACCCGGUGAUCUAGCCAUGGGCAGGUUGAAGGUUGGGUAACACUAACUGGAGGACCGAACCGACUAAUGUUGAAAAAUUAGCGGAUGACUUGUGGCUGGGGGUGAAAGGCCAAUCAAACCGGGAGAUAGCUGGUUCUCCCCGAAAGCUAUUUAGGUAGCGCCUCGUGAAUUCAUCUCCGGGGGUAGAGCACUGUUUCGGCAAGGGGGUCAUCCCGACUUACCAACCCGAUGCAAACUGCGAAUACCGGAGAAUGUUAUCACGGGAGACACACGGCGGGUGCUAACGUCCGUCGUGAAGAGGGAAACAACCCAGACCGCCAGCUAAGGUCCCAAAGUCAUGGUUAAGUGGGAAACGAUGUGGGAAGGCCCAGACAGCCAGGAUGUUGGCUUAGAAGCAGCCAUCAUUUAAAGAAAGCGUAAUAGCUCACUGGUCGAGUCGGCCUGCGCGGAAGAUGUAACGGGGCUAAACCAUGCACCGAAGCUGCGGCAGCGACACUAUGUGUUGUUGGGUAGGGGAGCGUUCUGUAAGCCUGUGAAGGUGGCCUGUGAGGGUUGCUGGAGGUAUCAGAAGUGCGAAUGCUGACAUAAGUAACGAUAAAGCGGGUGAAAAGCCCGCUCGCCGGAAGACCAAGGGUUCCUGUCCAACGUUAAUCGGGGCAGGGUGAGUCGACCCCUAAGGCGAGGCCGAAAGGCGUAGUCGAUGGGAAACAGGUUAAUAUUCCUGUACUUGGUGUUACUGCGAAGGGGGGACGGAGAAGGCUAUGUUGGCCGGGCGACGGUUGUCCCGGUUUAAGCGUGUAGGCUGGUUUUCCAGGCAAAUCCGGAAAAUCAAGGCUGAGGCGUGAUGACGAGGCACUACGGUGCUGAAGCGACAAAUGCCCUGCUUCCAGGAAAAG